rnacentral:lncRNA from 1 species
CAGUUUCUGGGUAUUAUUAAUAGUAGUAAUGAAGUAAAACAUUUUGAAACUGGACUCAAAUUGUGUUCAGUGUGCUAAACCAGGCAUGCUGUGAAAUGAAUGUAAAUUUUAACAAGCCAAUUCUGAGCUGUAGACUUCUCAUUAGUGCACCUUUCCCAACUGUAAUGUGCAGAAUGAGCCACUAGAGGGCAACCAUUUUCUUUAGGAAAAAGAUGCUGUUUGAAAGCACUGUAUAUUCAUUUAACCACAAUGACACCAUGUCUCACAGCCAGGAGAAUGGAUAUAAUCAACAGAAAAGGCAGUAUCAAGUGUUGGAGGAGACAAGGAGCAACUGGAAAUCUCAUACGUUGCUGUUGGAAAUAUAUGGUACCGCCACUCGGAUAACAGUUUGCAGUUUCCUAAAAAGUUAAAAUCAUUUUACAAUAAAACCCAGCAAUUCCACAUAUAUGAAACUACCCAAGAUAAAUGAAAGCAUAUGGUCAAUUAAGAUAUGUUCAUGAACAUUCAUGGCAUCACAAAUAGCCAAAAAUUGGAAACAAUCCAAACAACCAUUAUUGGUGAAUGAAUAAACAAAACGUGAUAUAUACAUAUGAGGGAAUACUAUUCAGCUAUAAAAAUUCUACACUAUGGAUGAAGUGAACCUCAAAAAUAUUAUGCUGAAUGAGAGAAGGCAGAUGCAAAAGACUAAAUAUGGUGUGUGAUUCAAUUUAUAUGAAAUACCCAGAAAAGACAAAUUUAUAGACAGAAAGCAGAUCAGUGGCUACCUAGGGUGAAGAGAAAGGAGGGGAGGAAUGGGGACUGACUGCAGACGGGCUCAUGAGAAUUUCAGGGAGAUGAUGAAAGUGUUCCAAAUCUGGAUUAUGAUGAGGCUAGCACAAUGCUACAGGUUUACUGAAUCACCAUGUACACUUACAGCAGGUAAAUUUAAUAUAAAUCAUACUGCAAUAAAGCUAACUCAAAAAACACACAGAUUUAGUGCUGUAUUAGAAUAGGUACUGGGAAAUGAAACAAGUGAAAGAAAGAAAACUAACAGCACUGCGUAUUAGAAAGUAAUAUAAAUAGCCACUAUGUCAUUCGGUCCUGAGCUCUGGUUUUCAGACAGGAAAAAAGAUCACUGUUUGCAAAUGGACUAGGGAAAUUUAGGGAAUUUAUGGUCAGGUAAGAAUUUUAUUACUUUUGGCCAAAGGCCUAUUACAUUUGUUACAUUAAACAGAAAUAUUUGUUUAAAAAGAAAGCUUAUAAAGUUUCAAGCAGAAAGCAAUUAUUUUCUGACUCUCCAUCAGUACUCUGGAGUCAUAUUUAUGAAGGGAUUUAAAACACAUCAAUGUGCUAAGGGUCUGAUGUUAUAUGAAAUAACUAAUAACUUGAGAUAUUCAAAGAGAGACACUUGAAGUGACAGGCAUAUCCAUACCAAGCAAUUUUACAUUUCCUGAAUUAUCCUUUUAUAAACUCCUAGUUUAAAUUUACUUAAGAAACUUCAGGUGUAAUAAUAUAUGGGAUCAAAAGGCUCAUUCUGGCCUGUAAUCCCAGCACUUUACAAGGCUGAGGCAGGAGGAUUGCUUGAACCCAGCAGUUCAAUACCAGCCCGGGCAACUUAGCGAGACCUGUCUCUACAAAAAUAUCAAAAUUAGCCAGGUAUAGUGGUGCGGGCCUGUAGUACUACUCAGUAGACAGAGGUGGGAGGUCAAGGCUGCAGGGAGUCAUGGUCAUGCCACUGCAC